CAGUAGCCGCGGUAACACCGAGGGUGCAAGCGUUAAUCGGAAUUACUGGGCGUAAAGCGCGCGUAGGUGGUUUGUUAAGUUGGAUGUGAAAUCCCCGGGCUCAACCUGGGAACUGCAUCCAAAACUGGCAAGCUAGAGUAGGGCAGAGGGUGGUGGAAUUUCCUGUGUAGCGGUGAAAUGCGUAGAUAUAGGAAGGAACACCAGUGGCGAAGGCGACCACCUGGGCUCAUACUGACACUGAGGUGCGAAAGCGUGGGGAGCAAACAGGAUUAGAUACCCCUGUAGUCCCUGUCUCUUAUAC
rnacentral:rRNA from 1 species